UACGAAGGGGGCUAGCGUUGCUCGGAAUUACUGGGGCGUAAAGCGUGCGCAGGCGGUUGUGCAAGACAGAAUGUGAAAUCCCCGGGCUCAACCUGGGAAUUGACAUUUGUCGACUGCACGGCUAGAGUGUGUCAGAGGGGGGUAGAAUUCCACGUGUAGCAGUGAAAUGCGUAGAGAUGUGGAGGAAUACCGAUGGCGAAGGCAGCCCCCUGGGAUAACACUGACGGCUCAUGCACGAAAGCGUGGGGAGCAAACAGG
rnacentral:rRNA from 1 species